UACGUAGGGUCCGAGCGUUGUCCGGAAUUACUGGGCGUAAAGAGCUCGUAGGUGGUUUGUCGCGUUGUUCGUGAAAACUCACAGCUCAACUGUGGGCGUGCGGGCGAUACGGGCAGACUGGAGUACUGCAGGGGAGACUGGAAUUCCUGGUGUAGCGGUGGAAUGCGCAGAUAUCAGGAGGAACACCGGUGGCGAAGGCGGCUCUCUGGGCCUUACCUGACGCUGAGGAGCGAAAGCGUGGGGAGCGAACAGG
rnacentral:rRNA from 1 species